rnacentral:rRNA from 1 species
UACAGAGGGUGCGAGCGUUGAUCGGAAUUACUGGGCGUAAAGGGCGCGUAGGCGGCCGCCUAAGUCAGACGUGAAAUCCCUCGGCUCAACCGGGGAACUGCGUCUGAUACUGGGUGGCUUGAGUUCGGGAGAGGGAUGCGGAAUUCCAGGUGUAGCGGUGAAAUGCGUAGAUAUCUGGAGGAACACCGGUGGCGAAGGCGGGUCUCUGGGCAUCUCCUGACGCUGAGGCGCGAAAGCGUGGGGAGCAAACGGG